rnacentral:rRNA from 1 species
AGGAUGAACGCUGGCGGCGUGCUUAACACAUGCAAGUUGAACGGUGAAGCCCAGCUUGCUGGGUGGAUCAGUGGCGAACGGGUGAGUAACACGUGAGCAACCUGCCCCUGACUCUGGGAUAAGCGCUGGAAACGGUGUCUAAUACUGGAUACG